rnacentral:rRNA from 1 species
UGACGUACUUGUACUGAUUGGGAUUUUAACACGAAGUGAGUGGCGAACGGGUGAGUAACACGUGGGUAACCUGCCCAGAAGUAGGGGAUAACACCUGGAAACAGAUGCUAAUACCGUAUAACAGAGAAAACCGCAUGGUUUUCUUUUAAAAGAUGGCUCUGCUAUCACUUCUGGAUGGACCCGCGGCGUAUUAGCUAGUUGGUGAGGUAAAGGCUCACCAAGGCAGUGAUACGUAGCCGACCUGAGAGGGUAAUC